rnacentral:lncRNA from 1 species
AUGUGUGUGGGUGUCUGUGUCUGUUCCUGUGUCUCUGUGUCUGUGAGUGUCUUUCUGUGGGUGUCUGUGUGUGUGUGUCUGUGUCCUUGUGUCCCUGUGUCUGUGGGUGUCUUUCUGUGGGUGUCUGUGUGUGUGUGUCAUUCCGUGGGUGUGUGUGCGUGUGUGUCCAUGUCUGUGUGUGUGUCUUUCCGUGGGUGUCUGUAUGUGUGUGUCUGUGUCUGUGUCCCUGUAUCUCUGUGUCUCUGUGUGUCUUUCUGUGGGUGUCUGUGUGUGAGUGUCCCUGUGUCUCUGUGUCUGUGGGUGUCUUUCCAUGGGUGUCUGUGUGUGUGUGUCUGUGUCUGUGGGUGUCUUUCUGUGGCUGGCUAUGGCUGUGUGUGUCGCUGUGUCUCUGCAUCUGUGGGUGUCUUUCUGUGGCUGGCUAUGGCCGUGUGUGUGUUCGUGUGUAAGCUCUCCCAGUCUCACCUCUGGAACGUCAGUGCCUCCUUGCUCUGCCUCGUGAAGGAGUGUCCCCUCCGCCCACUGACGGCCCCUGGUGGGGGGGGGUGCUCCUCUGGUGACCACGCUGCAUCUGGACCUCCCUCCACUUCCCUUUCCUGCUCCAGUUUGCACUUCAUGCAGCCCUGCAUUCCACAUGCGUUUCUGAGCACUUACGGAGCGCCACGUGCCCUGCGAGGCCCUGGGAUUGGGUGGAGCCUGAAGCUGAAGAGGCCCUGCCCUCAUGAAGCUUGCAGUCUAGAGCGGGGAGAUACGGAAGGACCGUUAACGCCAGAAUAUAAGGAAAGGUGCUUCCCAAAAUCGUCCUUUACAAAAUGGGGAGUGGCCUUGCUCUUGAGUCUGCAGUUUCCUGCCAUGUUGCCAGCUCUGUUCUCCCUUACUUUCUGCUUGAACGUAAAGGCAAGACAUAUUAGUCCCACAGGGCUUCAAUCGAUGCUAAUUUUGGACGCUCAUAGAAGUCACCCGAUGGCAUCAGUAAAAAACCAAAAAGGCAAAGAAAAUGAACAAAAUAAUAAUUAUUCCUGGGGAGGCGUGAUCUUGCACUUGCAGGCACUCAGUGCUGUCAGGAAGCAGCCUUUAAGGUCACAUAGAAAGUGA